rnacentral:tmRNA from 1 species
GGGGAUGACAGGUCUCGACUCCGGAUGUCGAGGCAGGGGAAGCGGGCCGAGGAAGCCGACGAUCAUCUCGUUAACGACCCGUCGGAAAACACACAAGCGCCGACUCCAGUCCGCGCGCGUACGACCUCGCUGCCUAGCAGCUAGUUCGUCGCUGUCAGCCUGAGGACGCCCUCGACUCAGGACCUGGCAUCGCUAGAGGGACCACCACCCGCUUUGGCCGCGGGGGCGGGUGGUGAGCUACCGCGGCUGAGCUCGUUCCCGGCCUGCUGGCAGGACCGGGAGAGCCGAGAAACUCAACGCCAGCUGCGCCCGGAGAAGCCCUGUCUAUGCACCGGAGGACGCGGGUUCGAUUCCCGCCAUCUCCACGA